UGGGUGGGCUUCCUCCAAGAAAUUUGACUACCAUCCGAAUGCCUAGCUCGGACCAUCGGAAGCUUAUCGAGGCACCCACACAUCGGUCGUUAUAUAGUCUACAUAGCACACACGCACAGACCGCAGCAGACAGCCUGUCGCCGUGUGAACAACGGUAUCAUACUAAUUUCGGAGACCACAAAGGUGGAGCGGUAAUAACGAUCAUGUCAAAAGAAGGUCCGACACCACAACAUGCGUUAAACACACGAUCAUAACAUUUUAUUAGUGGCGCGGUCAAAAGCAUCCGAGACUGCCGGCAAAAGUUCAACCAAAAAAAUAACAGGUCAACUUGGAAGAGAUGUGGAGCCAUUCUACACAUUAAAUUUUACUCCUUAACUUAUUUUUUUUUUCAAAGAAGCUAGUGUUACUUCAUAGCCUUUCAUUAAAAUAAAUUGAAGCAAGAUUGAA